GAUGAACGCUGGCGGCGUGCCUAAUACAUCCAAGUCUAGCGAACAGACGAGGAGCUUGCUCCUUUGACGUUAGCGGCGGACGGGUGAGUAACACGUAGGUAACCUACCUAUAAAACUGGGAUAACUUCGGGAAACCGGAGCUAUUACCGGAUAAUAUUUCGAACCGCAUGGUUCUAUAGUGAAAGAUGGCUUUGCUAUCACUUAUAGAUGGACCUGCGCCGUAUUAGCUAGUUGGUAAGGUAACGGCUUACCAAGGCAACGAUACGUAGCCGACCUGAGAGGGUGCUAGGCCACACUGGAACUAAGAAACGCUCCAGACUACUGCGGGAGGCAGCAGUAGGGAAUCUUCCGCAAUGGGCGCAAGCCUGACGGAGCAACGCCGCGUGAGUGAUGAAGGUCUUCGGCUCGUAAAAGUCUGUUAUUAGGGACGAACCAACGUGUAAGUAACUGUGCACGUCUUGACGGUACCUAAUCAGAAAGCCACGGCUACCUACGUG
rnacentral:rRNA from 1 species